AGCUCGUUCUCUUCAAUUUCAAAUUCAUUCUCAUUUUCUUCAAAUGAAUGGAAUUCACGAUUUAGUUUUGAUUGAAGGGCGGGCCUAUUUAACGAUUUUUGUUUCACCAGUUGUAUAUCCGUUCUGUCACGUUUCAUUGUUUGAUUUUUUCGUAAAGGACAUCUGAUUUGACAAAUGGAUAGCGUAAAGUUAACAUCACGUUGUUUUAACAACUGCCGGACGAAGCAGCUAGAGUUCUCGCGGGCGUCACUUCAAGAGGGCGCUUUCUUUUUUUUUCCUGAUGAAAAAAUUGCCCAUUGCCUAUGGUCUUGAGAGUGUCAGUUAAAACGGUAGGAUCGACGGAAAUGUGAUAGAAGUUGUCAGUGAUGGAUCGUCAACGUGGACUUUCUUGCAAAUUUCUUUGAACUACACAUUUUCCAGUUUGCAAUUAACCAUUUGACUCGUUUUCCCAUUACUGUGAAAAAUGCCAAGAUCUGGUUGACUUUUUUUUUCGUCACGA